AUGUAACGGGGCUCAAGCACACCACCGAAGUUGUAGAUUUCGCACUAUAGACAAGCCUUCGUGGUUCAGUCGUGCGGAGUGGUAGGAGAGCGUCGUGUGGCGAGUGAAGCGGCGGAGUGAUCCAGCCGUGGACGCUACACGAGUGAGAAUGCAGGCAUGAGUAGCGAAAGACGGGUGAGAAACCCGUCCUCCGAAAGACCAAGGGUUCCAGGGCCAGGUUAAUCCGCCCUGGGUAAGUCGGGACCUAAGGCGAGGCCGACAGGCGUAGUCGAUGGACAACGGGUUGAUAUUCCCGUACCGGCGAACAACCGCCCAAGCUAAUCCAGUGGUGCUAAGAGUCCUAACCCGGUACAACCGGAUCCCUUCGGGGUGAUGGUGGCCGGUCUAACGCUCGACCCCAUGCUGGUGCGGUUAGCGUAUGAACAGGUGUGACGCAGGAAGGUAGCUGAGCCAGGCGAUGGUAUCCGUAAGGUGAACCUGGUGUAAGGAUGUAGGGCUGACGAUAGGCAAAUCCGUCGUCUGUACGCCUGAGAUCCGACGCGUACCCGUCAGGGGAAAUCAGUGAUCCUAUGCUGCCGAGAAAAGCAUCGACGCGAGGUUGCAGCCGCCCGUACCCGAAACCGACUCAGGUGGUCAGGUAGAGAAUACCAAGGAGAUCGAGAGAAUCGUGGUUAAGGAACUCGGCAAAAUGCCCCCGUAACUUCGGGAGAAGGGGGGCCGGACACGUGACCGGAUUUACUCCGUGAGCGUUGAAGGCCGCAGAGACCAGUGGGAAGCGACUGUUUACUAAAAACACAGGUCCGUGCGAAGUCGCAAGACGAUGUAUACGGACUGACGCCUGCCCGGUGCUGGAAGGUUAAGAGGAAGGGUUAGCCUUUGGGCGAAGCUCUGAAUUUAAGCCCCAGUAAACGGCGGUGGUAACUAUAACCAUCCUAAGGUAGCGAAAUUCCUUGUCGGGUAAGUUCCGACCUGCACGAAUGGCGUAACGACUUCCCAGCUGUCUCAACCGCGAACUCGGCGAAAUUGCACUACGAGUAAAGAUGCUCGUUACGCGCAGCAGGACGGAAAGACCCCGUGACCUUUACUACAGUUUGGUAUUGGUGUUCGGAGUGGCUUGUGUAGGAUAGGUGGGAGACUGUGAAGCGGGCACGCUAGUGUUCGUGGAGUCAUUGUUGAAAUACCACUCUGGUCACUUUGGAUGUCUAACGUAGGACCCUGAUCGGGUUCAUGGACAGUGCCUGAUGGGUAGUUUAACUGGGGCGGUUGCCUCCCAAAGAGUAACGGAGGCGCCCAAAGGUUCCCUCAACCUGGUUGGCAAUCAGGUGGCGAGUGUAAGUGCACAAGGGAGCUUGACUGUGAGACUGACAGGUCGAGCAGGGACGAAAGUCGGGACUAGUGAUCCGGCAGUGGCUUGUGGAAGCGCUGUCGCUCAACGGAUAAAAGGUACCUCGGGGAUAACAGGCUGAUCUUGCCCAAGAGUCCAUAUCGACGGCAUGGUUUGGCACCUCGAUGUCGGCUCGUCGCAUCCUGGGGCUGGAGUAGGUCCCAAGGGUUGGGCUGUUCGCCCAUUAAAGCGGUACGCGAGCUGGGUUUAGAACGUCGUGAGACAGUUCGGUCCCUAUCCGCUGCGCGCGUUGGAAAUUUGAGAAGAUCUAUCCCUAGUACGAGAGGACCGGGAUGGACGAACCUCUGGUGUGUCAGUUGUUCUGCCAAGGGCACCGCUGAUUAGCUACGUUCGGACCGGAUAACCGCUGAAAGCAUCUAAGCGGGAAGCCGUCUUCGAGAUGAGAUUUCCAUGCACCUUGAGUGUGAGAGGCUCCCAGCAGACUACUGGGUUGAUAGGCCGGAUGUGGAAGCGGGGACUAACGACCCGUGGAGCUGACCGGUACUAAUAAGCCGAAGACUUGAUAACACA
rnacentral:rRNA from 1 species